UAUAUUUAUACGCUGAAUCCGUUAGGAACGGGAGACCCAAAUAAUAGGGGUGAAUCCAAAGCGGUUGCUUUGGUAGGGUUAAGCUCUUUCGACCCGAAUCCGUCAGCUAAUCUCGUAAGCGGUGGAAGAGAAGGUGA
rnacentral:sRNA from 2 species